AGCUGGCAGUAACAUAUCACGUAAUAAGAGUCAUAUCCAUGGCAUUACAACAGUUACUGAUAGCAAUAUUAGAAAUACUUAUGGAAGUAUCAAACCUGGUGAUGACAUAUUUACAGAGUCUCAUGGUGGUCCGGACUAUGCAGUUAUUGUUGGAGGAAUAGUAGGAGUCUUACUUUUAAUAUGUAUCAUUGUUGGUGUUUUUCUUUCAAGGAGACGCAAGUGUAAGAUAAAAUCUAAUGAAACAAAUGAUUCUACUCAUGGUCAGUCAGUACCAGAUAAUAAUCAAGACGGUCAAUUGAUGAAUUCCACUGAAGU